GAUUAAGUUAUUAAGGGCGCACGGUGGAUGCCUUGGCACUAGAAGCCGAUGAAGGACGUUACUAACGACGAUAUGCUUUGGGGAGCUGUAAGUAAGCGUUGAUCCAGAGAUUUCCGAAUGGGGAAACCCAGCAUGAGUUAUGUCAUGUUAUCGAUAUGUGAAUACAUAGCAUAUCAGAAGGCAGACCCGGAGAACUGAAACAUCUUAGUACCCGGAGGAAGAGAAAGAAAAAUCGAUUCCCUGAGUAGCGGCGAGCGAAACGGGAAGAGCCCAAACCAACAAGCUUGCUUGUUGGGGUUGUAGGACACUCUAUACGGAGUUACAAAAGUAUAUAUUAGACGAAUCAUCUGGAAAGUUGAAUCAAAGAAGGUAAUAAUCCUGUAGUCGAAAAUAUAUGCUCUCUUGAGUGGAUCCUGAGUACGACGGAGCACGUGAAAUUCCGUCGGAAUCUGGGAGGACCAUCUCCUAAGGCUAAAUACUCUCUAGUGACCGAUAGUGAACCAGUACCGUGAGGGAAAGGUGAAAAGUACCCCGGAAGGGGAGUGAAAGAGAACUUGAAACCGUGUGCUUACAAGUAGUCAGAGCCCGUUAAUGGGUGAUGGCGUGCCUUUUGUAGAAUGAACCGGCGAGUUACGAUUUGAUGCAAGGUUAAGCAGCUAAUGUGGAGCCGUAGCGAAAGCGAGUCUGAAUAGGGCGUUUAGUAUUUGGUCGUAGACCCGAAACCAGGUGAUCUACCCUUGGUCAGGUUGAAGUUCAGGUAACACUGAAUGGAGGACCGAACCGACUUACGUUGAAAAGUGAGCGGAUGAACUGAGGGUAGCGGAGAAAUUCCAAUCGAACUUGGAGAUAGCUGGUUCUCUCCGAAAUAGCUUUAGGGCUAGCCUCAAGUGAUGAUUAUUGGAGGUAGAGCACUGUUUGGACGAGGGGCCCUUCUCGGGUUACCGAAUUCAGACAAACUCCGAAUGCCAAUUAAUUUAACUUGGGAGUCAGAACAUGGGUGAUAAGGUCCGUGUUCGAAAGGGAAACAGCCCAGACCACCAGCUAAGGUCCCAAAAUAUAUGUUAAGUGGAAAAGGAUGUGGCGUUGCCCAGACAACUAGGAUGUUGGCUUAGAAGCAGCCAUCAUUUAAAGAGUGCGUAAUAGCUCACUAGUCGAGUGACACUGCGCCGAAAAUGUACCGGGGCUAAACAUAUUACCGAAGCUGUGGAUUGUCCGUAGGACAAUGGUAGGAGAGCGUUCUAAGGGCGUCGAAGCAUGAUCGCAAGGACAUGUGGAGCGCUUAGAAGUGAGAAUGCCGGUGUGAGUAGCGAAAGACGGGUGAGAAUCCCGUCCACCGAUUGACUAAGGUUUCCAGAGGAAGGCUCGUCCGCUCUGGGUUAGUCGGGUCCUAAGCUGAGGCCGACAGGCGUAGGCGAUGGAUAACAGGUUGAUAUUCCUGUACCACCUAGUAUCGUUUUAAUCGAUGGGGGGACGCAGUAGGAUAGGCGAAGCGUGCUAUUGGAUUGCACGUCCAAGCAGUAAGACUGAGUGUUAGGCAAAUCCGGCACUCAUAAGGUCAAGCUGUGAUGGGGAGAGGAAAUUGUUUCCUCGAGUCGUUGAUUUCACACUGCCAAGAAAAGCCUCUAGAUAGAUAACAGGUGCCCGUACCGCAAACCGACACAGGUAGUCAAGAUGAGAAUUCUAAGGUGAGCGAGCGAACUCUCGUUAAGGAACUCGGCAAAAUGACCCCGUAACUUCGGGAGAAGGGGUGCUCUUUAGGGUUAACGCCCAGAAGAGCCGCAGUGAAUAGGCCCAAGCGACUGUUUAUCAAAAACACAGGUCUCUGCUAAACCGUAAGGUGAUGUAUAGGGGCUGACGCCUGCCCGGUGCUGGAAGGUUAAGAGGAGUAGUUAGCUUCUGCGAAGCUACGAAUCGAAGCCCCAGUAAACGGCGGCCGUAACUAUAACGGUCCUAAGGUAGCGAAAUUCCUUGUCGGGUAAGUUCCGACCCGCACGAAAGGCGUAACGAUUUGGGCACUGUCUCAACGAGAGACUCGGUGAAAUCAUAGUACCUGUGAAGAUGCAGGUUACCCGCGACAGGACGGAAAGACCCCGUGGAGCUUUACUGUAGCCUGAUAUUGAAAUUCGGCACAGCUUGUACAGGAUAGGUAGGAGCCUUUGAAACGUGAGCGCUAGCUUACGUGGAGGCAUUGGUGGGAUACUACCCUAGCUGUGUUGGCUUUCUAACCCGCACCACUUAUCGUGGUGGGAGACAGUGUCAGGUGGGCAGUUUGACUGGGGCGGUCGCCUCCUAAAAGGUAACGGAGGCGCUCAAAGGUUCCCUCAGAAUGGUUGGAAAUCAUUCAUAGAGUGUAAAGGCAUAAGGGAGCUUGACUGCGAGACUUACAAGUCGAGCAGGGUCGAAAGACGGACUUAGUGAUCCGGUGGUUCCGCAUGGAAGGGCCAUCGCUCAACGGAUAAAAGCUACCCCGGGGAUAACAGGCUUAUCUCCCCCAAGAGUUCACAUCGACGGGGAGGUUUGGCACCUCGAUGUCGGCUCAUCGCAUCCUGGGGCUGUAGUCGGUCCCAAGGGUUGGGCUGUUCGCCCAUUAAAGCGGUACGCGAGCUGGGUUCAGAACGUCGUGAGACAGUUCGGUCCCUAUCCGUCGUGGGCGUAGGAAAUUUGAGAGGAGCUGUCCUUAGUACGAGAGGACCGGGAUGGACAUACCUCUGGUGUACCAGUUGUCGUGCCAACGGCAUAGCUGGGUAGCUAUGUAUGGACGGGAUAAGUGCUGAAAGCAUCUAAGCAUGAAGCCCCCCUCAAGAUGAGAUUUCCCAACUUCGGUUAUAAGAUCCCUCAAAGAUGAUGAGGUUAAUAGGUUCGAGGUGGAAGCGUGGUGACACGUGGAGCUGACGAAUACUAAUCGAUCGAAGACUUAAUCAA
rnacentral:rRNA from 1 species